rnacentral:lncRNA from 1 species
AUGGCUCAAGGUUACCUUAAUGCAAAAGAAGACGAAGAGAUGGAGAUGAUUGGGGAAUUGUAUUUCAACAUUUUAGCAACGCGCUCUUUCUUUCAAGAGUUUAAGAAAGACGAUGAUGAGGAUGAGAUUAUAAGUUGUAAGAUGCAUCACACAGUACAUGAUUUUGCCCGACGUGUAAGCAGAGAAGAAUGUUCGUGGGCAGAAAUUAAUGGUUAUUUGUCGGUAGAAAUUAAUGGUAACAAAGAAUCAGUCAUAAGCUCUAUUGAUGACAAAGUCCGUCACCUAGGAUUAAAUUUUAAAGGAGGAGCUUCAUUUCCUAUGUCCGUUCUUGGACUUAAUAGAUUGCGUACCCUCUUAAUUUAUGACGAAAGUCCUUCCAAUCCGUCUCUUAAUAGUAGCAUCCUUCCGGAGUUAUUUAGUAAAUUGGCAUGUUUAAGGCCAUUAGUUAUAAGGCAAUCGUUCUCACUUUUUCGUCCUAGCCCAAAUUUCAUUAGAGAAAUUCCAGGAAAUGUUGGAAAAUUGAUACAUUUAAAAUAUCUUAAGUUGUCUAGACUACGUAUAAGGAGACUAUCUGAGACUUUGUGUGAAUUAUAUAAUUUACAAAAGCUAGAUAUUAGGUGGUGCCGAAAUCUUAGAAAAUUGCCUGGGGGGAUUGGGAAGUUAAUGAACAUGAGGAGUUUACUGAAUUUAGGCACUGUUUCGUUGAAAUACAUGCCAGUAGGGAUUUCCAAAUUAACCAAUCUUCGAACAUCGGAAAAGUUUAUGGUGGCUGGAGGUGCUGGUGAUAGCAGUAGGUGUAGCCUUAAAUCUCUGAAAAAUCUUCAACUCCUUCGAGAAUGUGGAAUAGAAGGGCUAAGUAAUAUGUCACAUAUAGAUGAGGCCAAGAGAUUAGAACUCGACAAUAAGAAAAACCUCCUUCGUUUUCGUCUUGUGUUUGGUGAAGUUGUAGGUGGGGAAGGUGAAGAAAGGAGGAGGAAGAAUGAGAAAGAUGAACAACUUCUUGAAGCCUUACAACCGCCUUUGAAUGUACGGGAAUUAGAAAUUUUGUUAUACGGAGGCAACAUUUUUCCCCAAUGGUUGACUUCACUAACCAAUCUAAGGAAUUUACAUCUUCACGGGUGUCUUAACUGUGAGCAUUUGCCUCCUUUGGGAAAAUUGCCUCUGGAAAAGCUCGAACUAUGCAGCUUGAAAAGUGUAAAAAGAGUGGGUAAUGAGUUUUUGGGAAUAGAAGAACUAUGCAACUUGAAAAGUGUAAAAAGAGUGGGUAAUGAGUUUUUGGGAAUAGAAGAAAGUAGUGAGGAUGGCCCAUCUUCAUCUUCAUCGUCAUCAUUGGUUAUUGCCUUCCCCAAAUUGAAAUCACUCGAAAUUACAGACAAGAAUGCAUUGGAAGAGUGGGAUUACAGGAUUACAAGAAAGGAAAACAUUUCCAUCAUGCCAUGUCUCUCUGUCUUGCGGGUUUAUCUUUGCCCCAAAUUAAAGGUGCUGCCGGAUUACCUUCUUCAAACGACGAAAGUAGUGAGGAUGGCCCAUCUUCAUCUUCAUCGUCAUCAUUGGUUAUUGCUUUCCCCAAAUUGAAAUCACUCGAAAUUACAGACAUGAAUGCAUUGGAAGAGUGGGAUUACAGGAUUACAAGAAAGGAAAACAUUUCCAUCAUGCCAUGUCUCUCUGUCUUGUGGGUUUAUCUUUGCCCCAAAUUAAAGGUGCUGCCGGAUUACCUUCUUCAAACGACGACACUGCAGAAAUUGAGGAUCCUUCAGUGUCCAAGUGUGGAAGAACUGCCCAUUCUAGAAGACCACAUCUUUCUUCCAUGUCUUUCUUCCUUGCGAAUUGAGUAUUGCCCCAAAUUAAAGGUGCUGCCGGAUUACCUUCUUCAAAC